rnacentral:tRNA from 2 species
GUCUUGAUGGCGCAGUUGGCUAGCGCGUUGGUCUCAUAUCAUAGAUAUGAUCUGGUUAAACACUAGAAAUCCAGAGGUCGUGAGUUCGAGCCUCACUCAGGACA